AUUUUUUUAUAAAGUUCAGAUGUGAAGAUGUAUUCUAGCUUUUCAAGCACAAACCAAAGCGUGACCGUGAAUUCUAUACAGCCGGGUAUUGAUCAAUCAAAUGUAAGCAAGGCUUACGAUGCUUGUUAACCAAUAAUAUUCAACCAUCACCGAAGGAGGCUGACACUGACAAUUCCUUUUUGAAAAAUGAAGCAACGAAACAUUAUAUUGCCACAAGAAGUAUCGACUCCUGUGACAAAUAGUAUUGACUUCUACGCUGCCCUGUGGCCUCUCACAGGCAUCUUGGACAGAAUUUCUCUGAGAUAAUCA
rnacentral:misc_RNA from 1 species